CCUACGGGGGGCAGCAGUAGGGAAUUUUUCACAAUGGGCGAAAGCCUGAUGGAGCAACGCCGCGUGUAGGAUGAAGGCCUUCGGGUUGUAAACUGCUUUUAUAAGCGAGAAAUAUGAUGGUAACUUAUGAAUAAGGAUCGGCUAACUACGUGCCAGCAGCCGCGGUCAUACGUAGGAUCCGAGCAUUAUCCGGAGUGACUGGGUGUAAAGAGUUGCGUAGGUGGCAUAAUAAGUAGCUAGUGAAAUCUGGUGGCUCAACCAUUCAGACUAUUAGCUAAACUGUUAAGCUCGAGACCGUUAGGGGUAACUGGAAUUUCUAGUGUAGGAGUGAAAUCCGUAGAUAUUAGAAGGAACACCAAUAGCGUAGGCAGGUUGCUGGGACGGUUCUGACACUAAGGCACGAAAGCGUAGGGAGCAAACGGGAUUAGAUACCCCUGUAGUC
rnacentral:rRNA from 1 species